AGAGUUUGAACCUGGCUCAGGAUGAACACUGGCGGCAUGCUUAACAGUUGAAAAUCAGAUGGGAAGUGAUGUUUCCAGUGGUGGAUGAGUGAGUAACGCAUAAGAACCUACCCUUGGGAGGGGAACAAUAGCUAGAAACAACUGCUAAUACCCCAUAAGCUGAGGAGCAAAAGGAGGAAUUCGCCCAAGGAGGGGCUCACAUCUGAUUAGUUAGUUGGUGAGGCAAUGGCUUUUUUACAAGGUGAACGAUCAGUAAGCUGGUCCGAGAGGAUGAUCAGCCACACUGGGAUUGAGACAUGACCUACACUCCUAUGGGAGGCAACAGUGGGGAAUUUUCUGCAAUGGGCGAAAGCCUGAUGGAGCAAUGGCGCAUGAAGGCAGAAGGCCCACAGGUCAUGAAAUUCUUCUCUCGGAGAAGAGAAAAUGAUGAUAUCUGAGGAAUAAGCAUCGACUAACUCUGUGCCAGCAGCCGUGGUAAGACAGAGGAUGCAAGUGUUAUCCGGAAUGAUUGGGCGUAAACGCGUGCUGUAGGUGGCUUUUCCAGUCCUGCGGUCAAAUCCCCAGGCUCAAACCCUGGACAGACAUGGAGAACUACCAAGUCUGGAGUAUCGAUAGGGGUAGAACGAAUUUCCAGUGGGCGGUGCAAAUGCGUUGAGAUUCGGAAAAGAACGCCAACGACGAAAGCACUUUUUGCUGGCCGAAGCAACUGACUGAGAGACGAAAGGCUAGGGGAGCAAAUGGGAUUGAUGACCCCAGUAUGUCCUAGCCGUAAAUGAAUGGAUACUAAGUGCCGGUGCGUAUCGACACCGCCGCCAGUUGUUGUAGCCUAACACGUUAAUGUUACCCACUUGGGGAGUACGUUCGCAGAUGAAACUCAAAGGAAUUGACGGGGGCCCGCACAAGCGGUGGAGCAUGUGGGUUCAAUUUGAUAGCAAGCAAAGCACCCUACCAGGGCUUGCGACAUGCCAGAAUCCUCCGAAAGAGAAGGAAGUGCCUGUCGGAACAGUGUGGGACACAGGUGGUGCAAGGCUGUUGUCAGCUCGUGUCGUUAAGGUGUUGGGUUAAGUCCCAGCAAACGAGCGCAAGCCUCGUGUUUAGUUGCCAACAUUUAAGUUUGGAACUGAACAAGCACUAUUGUGAUAAAGACCAGAGGAAAAGGUAAGGUGAAGUCAAGUCCUAUGCCCCUUACGCCCUGGGUGACACAUGUUGUGGAAUGACCGGGACAAAGGGCUACAACCCCACAAGGGCAAGCUAACCUCAAACACUUGGCCUUAGUUUGGAUUGGAGGUUGCAACACACCUGCAUGAAGCCAAAAUUGCAAGUAAUCGUUGGUCAGCCAUAUGGUGGUGAAUCCGUUCCCAGGCCUUGUACACAUCGCCCAUCACACUAUGGGAGCUAGCCAUGCCCCAAGUCAUUACCUUAACUGUAAGGAGGGGGAUGUCGAAGGCUGGGCUAGUGACUGGAGUUGAAGUUGCAAAAUUGUAGCUGUACAUAGGAAGGUGUGGUUG
rnacentral:rRNA from 1 species